CAGAAUGUCUACAUUUUAAGAUUAGAUCUCAAAUCAGGUAGGACUACCCGCUGAACUUAAGCAUAUCAAUAAGCGGAGGAAAAGAAACUAACAAGGAUUCCCCUAGUAGCGGCGAGCGAAGCGGGAAGAGCUCAAAUUUAUAAUCUGGCACCUUCGGUGUCCGAGUUGUAAUCUCUAGAAAUGUUUUCCGCGUUGGACCGCACACAAGUCUGUUGGAAUACAGCGGCAUAGUGGUGAGACCCCCGUAUAUGGUGCGGACGCCCAGCGCUUUGUGAUACAUUUUCGAAGAGUCGAGUUGUUUGGGAAUGCAGCUCAAAUUGGGUGGUAAAUUCCAUCUAAAGCUAAAUAUUGGCGAGAGACCGAUAGCGAACAAGUACCGUGAGGGAAAGAUGAAAAGCACUUUGGAAAGAGAGUUAACAGUACGUGAAAUUGUUGGAAGGGAAACGCUUGAAGUCAGACUUGCUUGCCGAGCAAUCGGUUUGCAGGCCAGCAUCAGUUUUCCGGGAUGGAUAAUGGUAGAGAGAAGGUAGCAGUUUCGGCUGUGUUAUAGCUCUCUGCUGGAUACAUCUUGGGGGACUGAGGAACGCAGUGUGCCUUUGGCGGGGGUUUCGACCUCUUCACACUUAGGAUGCUGGUGGAAUGGCUUUAAACGACCCGUCUUGAAACACGGA
rnacentral:rRNA from 1 species